GGAGGAGGACGGCUCUCGCUGAGUGGGUAGAGCACCUGCUUGGCAUGCAGAAGGUCCCGGGUUCAAUCCUUGGCAUUUCCA